UAAAAGUAGCAAUACUUGGUGGCGACCGGCGCACGGGUGAGUAACGCGUAUGCAACCUACCUAUCGAGAGGGGAAGUAACCCGGCGAAAGUACGGACUAAUACCGCAUAAAACAGGGGCACCGCAUGGUGAUAUUUGUUAAAGAAAUUCGCUGAUAGAUGGGCAUGCGUUCCAUUAGGUAGUUGGUGAGGUAACGGCUCACCAAGCCGACGAUGGAUAGGGGAACUGAGAGGUUGGUCCCCCACACUGGUACUGAGACACGGACCAGACUCCUACGGGAGGCAGCAGUGAGGAAUAUUGGUCAAUGGGCGAGAGCCUGAACCAGCCAAGUCGCGUGAAGGAAGAAGGAUCUAUGGUUCGUUUAAACUUCUUUUGCAGGGGAAUAAAGUGCAGGACGUGUCCUGUUUUGUAUGUACCCUGAGAAUAAGGAUCGGCUAACUCCGUGCCAGCAGCGGC
rnacentral:rRNA from 1 species